ACCUCCCCCACCAGCGGGUCUCUGGGGGCACCAGGGACGGAGAUGGGAGGGGAGGUGGAGACCAGAGGAGCCGGCCUGCCUGCCAUAAAUCACCACGCCAGGCUUUAUAAUUAUCUGGGCACUUAAGCUCCUCUUUCUUCUCUUCCCCCUUUCCCUGGGGAAAUUUCCUUCAUUUCCUACAUUAUCCCGGUCUCCCCGCAUGUCUAAAUCACCCUCAGCCACGCCACAGCCUACUUCUGCAAGCUGGUUCCCCGGCCUACUUCCACCAGGGAGGGCAGGCUGGAUGGCUCCCAGCAUGCCACCGUCCAAACCCACAUCCCCUUCCUGCCCGGGACAGAAAGCUAGAAAUGCCACCAUGCCCAACCUUCGAGCUGUGCUGACUGUCCCCGCUGUCCAUCGGCUGCCGCUCCCGCCCUCGAGAUCUGUCGGCAAAGCCAGGCGGCCAUGGGCUUCCCCGGGAAGGCAGGCCCAACAUGGAGUGAGGUCCCGGCUGAAGAAGCUGCGAUGCCACUGCACCGGCUCCCCUGGCCUUUCCAGCACCCAGUUCCCGAUGACCGUGACAACAGCUUUCCCCGGGGCCGGGCUGGGCGAGCGUCACCCCGCCGGGGUCUGUGGCAAUCUGGCAGGUGAGAACACUGAGGCCCAAGGAGGAGCGAAGUCUGCCCGAAUCCUUCCCGGCUGCUGCGAAGGCCUGCCGCUUCCGAGGCUCUGCUCUAGGCACGUAAGCUGGAAAGUGGCCCCGCAGGACAGCAGCAGGGCCCAGUAGAAGGCAGGUGGGGCAGGGGUCCUCAGAGGGUCCCCCAUCAUCUCCGGGACAACUCCCACCUCAGGAGAGGCAGAGGGGAGGGCAGCACCUCCUCCAGGGCUUCAGGCUGGGGCCGGGGGCCGCCGUGGACCAGCCCUGGGCAAGCAUUUCAAAGUCAACAAGAGGCAAUGUUCUCCUAGGCCUCCCUCCCGGGGGGAUGAGCCAGCCGGGUUUUUUUUUAAAUCUGGAUCUCAUUUUCUGCCCACAUUUCUGACCUCCGGAAGCCUCCCGGGUACUUUUCCAGAGCUCUCUGGACUCUGUCACGGGCACGUUUCAUGCCUCUGCUCACCGCAUUCACAGCCAGGUCACUGGGCACCCCACAGAUGCCAGGUGGAGCCUGCGGGCACAGCUGCCCGGGCCUUCCCAAGCCCUGGGCCCACAGGCUCCAACUGGCGCUCCAACAGCCAUCUCUGCUCAGAUUCCAUGACUCCUUCCCUUGAAAAAAAAAAAUUCCUCUUCGAAAACAAACAAAAGCCCCAGAAUGGUGACCCCGGGAGAGCUGGCUGUGCUUCCGCUUCAUUUUCGGUUUUGUUCCGGCCUCCUGUUUGGCACAGCCAAGCACCUGGAGAAACCGUUGAACCCUCUAGCUUUUACAGAUGGGUAAACUGAGGCCCAGACGGAGGAAGGGGCUUCCUGAGAGCUGCACACAUGGUGAUUCUAUGGCUCAGCCAGGAUGGAGCCGGUGGGGGGCUCUGGGCAAGGAAGCACAGGGUGUGAGCCCACAGCCGGCCAAGGUAAGAGCAGCCACGGCCCUGCGUGGGGUGGGGGACGUGGCGCAUCGUCGCAGGCCCCGUGGACCCUCUCUCCACCCGGUGGUCCCGUGGCCCAGGGCACUGAAGGCUGGCGCUCAGUAUGUGCGAAAGCAAACUCAGGGAGAAGCCGUGAACCUCAAGGAAAGCAGGCUGGCUCUAAUGGAAACCAGUCAGCGGGCCAAAUGCAGCAGGAACCCCCCCCCCCCCCCGUGGUUUCCAUGGGGAUGGAGCCCAGGAGGUGGAGCUCUGGCUCAGCGGCCGCAGCAGAUGUGGCCUGUGCAGGGCUGGCGGGAGGGGCGGCGCUCGCCUGGCAGCAGGGCCCUGGGACGUGGCAGGCCCGGGCUGGAGGCUAUGAUGAGCCCAGGGCUGAAUCCGCCGCCUCCGGGAGGCCUCCUGGAUUCCUUGGGCGGGCGCUGGGUGCUCCUGGCAAACUUUCUGCUCCCCAUGCAGCUGGGCCCAGCACCCCCCACCAGCACCAACAGGCCCGGGCCUCCUGGAGGGCGCCCAUGUUUGCUAAGUGAGGUCCCUGAGCCUGUGAGCGAGGGACGGACAGGACGCCGUGUCCUGGCUCUCGCCCUCUAGCAGAGGACCCAGGACUUGACAAGAGCGGCCUGAUCCAGUCACUGGAUGGUGCUGACGCCUGCUGGACCCCGAGCCAGGGCCUGCCCAGAGCAGGCUCCCUAGCCUCUCUGAGAGGGGCCCUCGAGAAUCGGACGAGCUCUGAGCAAUGUUGGGGCACAACUCACAGGAUCGGGGACACAAGUGCCACAGGGGGCCACAUGGACGGACACGGCAGGCUUCCUCCAACAACGUGACCCCGUCCCGUUUGCCUGCAGAGAGCUGCUUUCACGGGAGCUUAUCCCGGCCUGUACGUGGUACUUCAGCACCUCUGCCCAGCCCUGACCUGAGGGAUCCCCCCUCCAGCUGAGACCACUGCCGCGGAGCAGGCCUCACAGGUGCCGAUAGCCCACCUUGUCCACCUCAGCACAAGGUAUGAGUAUCUCCAUGAGAAAGGGGUCCAGGCCCGUCAGGUGCACAGCAUUGUCUACAGCCAGCCCCCACGUGAAGAACCUGCAAAAAACCCCCGGCUGGUCACCUACACCACAGGCUCCCGGCCCAGUGCAAGGCUGUGAAUUUGGCACAGGGAAGAAAGGGCCAUUUUAAGAACAUGAAAGGCUCCAAAACGGUCUUGCCUGUUCCAGGUUCUCACAGUAUCUCCCAAAGGCUUUUAUCCCCAGUGUUUGAGGGCAGAAAGCCGUAGGCCACCUGGGCCCGCUACCUGGUACGACUCCCUGCUGCAGGAGCACUGAGAGCAAGGAUGACAUCCUGGCUCACCCGUUCCUAGUGCCUGCUGCCGCGCCGCGCACCGUCCAGGGCCAGCCAGCACCCAGAGCCACAGAGGCCUGAAGCCUUCGCCCCAGCAGGGCAUGGGGGCUUUGCGGGCCCUACCAGCAGGCCCCAGAUGCUGGGGUACCGGCAACCCAGCCAGAGACGGGUCCUUGGGAGACCCCUCAGAACCAGCACGACAUGACCCCUGGGAGGGAAGCAAUGGAGGCAAUCUUGGCUCUCUCCUCGGGCAGAAGAACUCCAACCUGGCCCUGCGUGUCUGGGAACCCACCAAGGUCAGCAUCCAUGACCCCAUACAUAACAGAAAGGGGUCUUCCAUCCAGCUGUUCUCACUAGCGUGGGGACGGCGUGGGGAGAGCAUAGGGCCUGCACCCAGAGACCUGCUUCAGCUCCAGGCUGUUACUCCCAAGCUGUGUGGCUCUGGCGAUGCUCCCUAGCCUCUCUGAGCCUUGGUUUUCUCACACAGCAAACCGCUAACACCUUCCACAUGGGCAGGGCCCGCAGCCAUCCUGUCUGCACCACAUUCCAGCCCCAAAGCAGCGCGGGCACACGCUGGCUCUGACAGGACGUUAGAUGAAGUAGAAUGAGGCCGACUGCAUCAUAAAAUGGAUGUUUAAAAAAGCAGGGGGGGAGGGUAAAUCAAAGUAUGCAGCCCUGAGCAUGGCGCUUAAUAGGUCAACAAAGGAUUGGUCCCCCAAACCCCAAGAAACCAGGUCAUGCGUGUGGCCUUGGACGUGCGCUGACCCUCCCUUGGGGCAGCCGAUCCUUUCCCCCGUGGUAUCCCGAAGGCCGUGCUGGCCUGCCACGCUGCCUGGGCCAAGAGGGCCUCCCCAAGGAGCUGCUUCCCAGAGCCACCGCCGGCACUGCCACGUGGGGUGGGCAGCCCCGGGGCUCGGCCAUUUGAGCACGACUGCAUUUUGGAGCACGGGGCUCACCUCUGGCGCUGGAGCGCCCAGGACUGAGGCCCACCCAUCAGGUGCCGAGCGCCUCCAAAGUUCUUGGCAACAGGCGACUUAAUAUUCGGGUGACCCUAACCACAGAGGCUCAGGCUGGAGGGCACCUUCUCUGCCCCGCGUCAGGCCCCACGGCGCUGCGGCUGCAGGCAGCCACCUCCAUGUCGCGUGUGCCUGUGCAUGGCCAGCAGGUUGGGGGCCACCUGCCUGAUGCCACAUGCCACGCUCAGGUGAAGGUCUUCGUCCCAUCGAGCUGAGAGAAGCUGCACAACCGGGAGGCUCUGGCGGGUGAGAACGGCGGGAACUCCUCUUGCCUCCAGGACCCCUCCGCCCACGCCUGGGCCGGAAGUGCGGGCACACCCAGUGCAGGAAUCCUGAAGCAGGGCCGGGCUCCCAGGAAACUGGGCCAGAGGUUCCCCAGCACGUGCUCCCCCGGCGGCUCCACUCUCAGGGUCUGUGGGCCUGGCCUCUACCUCCCUACUGGCCCCUCGAGAAACCCAGGAGCCAGAGUCCUGAGGACCAGAGGCUGGGGACCCUUUCCCAGGGCCCACCCGCUGCUCCCCAUCAAGGAGGGAUGAAUGGUGAGUGACAUCACCACGGAUGCCACGAGAAACCUGUGGUGGGAUUGAUCUCCUUGCUUUAUGGACAGGGAAACUGAGGCUGGGAGGCUGGGAUGGGUAGGCAGCUCACCUGAGAGGCCAGGCCUCUGGUCUCCACCUAAGAGGCGGCCCCACUGAGGGGACACAUGAACCACCCGGGCCUCCCAGACAGGCUCUCAUCUGUCUGACCGUUUCCCGAGUCUGAUGCGGCCACGUUGACUUUAAAGACAGAGAACCGAGGCCCGUGGUAAAUACCACUCUCAUCAAGGCUUUUUGGGAUCAAAGAUGUGCUGGGCAUUCACCAGCCUCAUCAGAUGCCCCCGAUGCCCACCAGGUCCCACGAGGUAGCUGGGCUGCUAAAGCUUCUGGGUGGCCGCUCGGCGGCCCGAGCCCCCCACGCAGGUGCACACGUGCACACACGCAGCCCUGCCCGGGAAGACUAGCCCUGCUGGCCGCUUCUUGCAGGAGGGCCGCCCGCGCACCAACCGGCCCACCCGGGCCUUCCGGCCGCUCCCCUGCCUCGGCCGCCUUCCCGGAUCCUGUUCUGGGCCUGCCCGCGCCGCCAUUUCCUCUCCCAGGCCCACAGGCUCACUUCCACUCCUCAGAGUUUGCAAAUGGCCGGUGCCUGGAACAGCCCGCCCCUCCAAGGAGAGCGCACCGUGCCUGGCCAGGUCCCAGCGCGUAGGCAGCCUGGCCAAAGGGCCUUCCUUCACCUCCCAGGAGCCUGGCAGCUGGGUGCCCUGUCCGACCAGCUCUGGCCGGCCCUGGGCUGCGGAAGAUGACCCCUGGGGCGGGGGGGCGGGGGUGCCUGGCAGGCGUCCCGGGGUGGCCCUCGGGCUCCGCGGCUCAGUGCCCCAAGCAGGCAUGGUGCCUCCAAAUGCCCAUGCACCUCUGCAAACCACCGACGUACCAGGCAAAGCACAGGACACUACGCGUGUGUGCACGUCACAUGCACAUGCCGUGGCACACAGGCCCCGGCCGAGGCACACCGUCCACACCUGGCCACCGCGUGGACACGCAGCACGAACACGGGCUCUGGAGGCCCAGGUCUGAAUCCCACCCCGAUCAUCAUCAGCUGGUUCAAUCUGGGGACCCAGCUUCAGGCUCAGUGCCUCCCCGGGGCCGAAUGGAGCCCGCGUUAGCCCCCGCCUGGCAGGCAUUUCUGAGACUCAGCGAUGAACCAAGGCUUCCCAGCAGGUGCGGGGCACUCUGUAAGGGCCGGGGGGCCACGCUAAGUGCAUUCCAUGUGUUUCUACGAGGCCGGGACACUUACUGCCCCCAUUUUACAGAUGGGGAAACCGGGGGCCCGGAGCGCGGAAAUGACUUGCCUUCCAUCAACACGGCCAGGAAAUAAAACCGACCCAAUGUGAAGCCCGGCCUCAAUGCCGGAGCUCCUGCUGGUCUGCGCUCUGCUUUGCCGCCUGAGCGGGGUGGCUGGCUCUGGCUCCCAGGGCGGCGGCUGCUCUGCUCUGCCUACUCUUUGAGAGCGCCCAGCCCAGCGCCGUGUUCUCGGGGCUGCUAGUAAAUACAGGUCUGAUGCCAAGACUGGGGUCAAUAGGCUGAAAGACUAAACGGGAAAGGAGGGAGUGGUUAAAAAAAAAAAAAAAAGAA